UACGUAGGGUCCGAGCGUUGUCCGGAGUUACUGGGCGUAAAGGGCGCGUAGGCGGCGCGGUAAGCGUGCGGUGAAAGCCCGGGGCUCAACCCCGGGUCGGCCGUGCGGACUGCCGGGCUGGAGCACUGUAGAGGCAGGUGGAAUUCCGGGUGUAGCGGUGGAAUGCGUAGAGAUCCGGAAGAACACCGGUGGCGAAGGCGGCCUGCUGGGCAGUAGCUGACGCUGAAGCGCGACAGCGUGGGGAGCAAACAGG
rnacentral:rRNA from 1 species